UACACACACAAAGUGGUGCUACUAUUAUUAAUUCUUCAGCAGUUGUCACUGGAGAUCUUGGACAUAAACCACCAUGUGGUGUGAAAUGGAAGGGAAAACAAGCUAUGGCCUCAAGCCAACUUGAAGAGAUGAGGGGAAGAAAACAAAUGGAGACUAGGUCUAAGGCUGCACAUUUGAGCCUAGAGAGCUCUAAUGCAAUCUAACUUGUUUUGGUAGAUUUUUGUUGGUAAUGCAAUGUAGACAUUUGUUUUGUUGGGUGAUAGACAAUGCAAUGCACUUUAUCCCUA